GAUCCUGUAGCUCAGUUGGUUAGAGCGCCGCCCUGUCACGGCGGAGGUCGCGGGUUCAAGUCCCGUCAGGAUCGC
rnacentral:tRNA from 2 species